rnacentral:tRNA from 1 species
GGCGCUUUAGCUCAGUCGGUUAGAGCAACGGAAUCAUAAUCCGUGUGUCCUGUGUUCGAGUCACAGAAGCGCCACCA